rnacentral:rRNA from 1 species
GGAAUUCCAUGNGUAGCGGUGAAAUGCGUAGAUAUAUGGAGGAACNCCAGUGGCGAAAGCGGCUCUCUGGUCUNUCACUGACGCUGAGGCUCGAAAGCGUGGGUAGCGAACAGGAUUAGAUACCCUGGUAGUCCACGCCGUAAACGAUGAGUGCUAGGUGUUAGGCCCUUUCCGGGGCUUAGUGCCGGAGCUAACGCAAUAAGCANUCCGCCUGGGGAGUACGACCGCAAGGUUGAAACUCAAAGGAAUUGACGGGGGCCCGCACAAGCGGUGGAGCAUGUGGUUUAAUUCGAAGCAACGCGAAGAACCUUACCAGGUCUUGACAUCCCGAUGCUAUUCUUAGAGAUAGGAAGUUACUUCGGUACAUCGGAGACAGGUGGUGCAUGGUUGUCGUCAGCUCGUGUCGUGAGAUGUUGGGUUAAGUCCCGUAACGAGCGCAACCCUUAUUGUUAGUUGCCAUCAUUAAGUUGGGCACUCUAGCGAGACUGCCGGUAAUAAACCGGAGGAAGGUGGGGAUGACGUCAAAUCAUCAUGCCCCUUAUGACCUGGGCUACACACGUGCUACAAUGGUCGGUACAACGAGUUGCGAGCCGGUGACGGCAAGCUAAUCUCUGAAAGCCGAUCUCAGUUCGGAUUGGAGGCUGCAACUCGCCUCCAUGAAGUCGGAAUCGCUAGUAAUCGCGGAUCAGCACGCCGCGGUGAAUACGUUCCCGGGCCUUGUACACACCGCCCGUCACACCACGAGAGUUUGUAACACCCGA